AUACGUAGGUGGCGAGCGUUAUCCGGAAUUACUGGGUGUAAAGGGUGUGUAGGCGGGAAGGCAAGUCGGAUGUGAAAAUUAUGGGCUCAACCCAUAAAGUGCGACCGCAACUGUUUUUCUUGAGGAUCGGAGAGGUAAUGAGAAUUCCCGGUGAUGCGGUGAAAUGCGCAGAGAUCGGGAGGAAUACCGGUGGCGAAGGCGAAUGACUGGACGAUAACUGACGCUGAGACACGAAAGCGUGGGGAGCAAACAGGAUUAGAUACCCUGGUAGUCCACGCCCUAAACGAUGAAUGCUAGGUGUAGGGGAGUCAUCUUCUGUGCCGCAGCUAACGCAAUAAGCAUUCCACCUGGGGAGUACGGCCGCAAGGUUGAAACUCAAAUGAAUUGACGGGG
rnacentral:rRNA from 1 species